rnacentral:rRNA from 1 species
UACAGAGGGUGCAAGCGUUGUUCGGAAUCAUUGGGCGUAAAGGGCGCGUAGGCGUGCGGUAAGUCACCUGUGAAACCUCUAGGCUCAACCUAGAGCCUGCAGGCGAAACUGCCGUGCUUGAGGGUGGGAGAGGUGCGUGGAAUCCGGGUGGAGCGGUGAAAUGCGUAGAGAUCGGAGGAACACCAAUGGCGAAGGCAGGGUCCUGGCUGGCACCUGACGCUGAUGUGCGAAAGCCAGGGGAGCGAACGGG